GGGGGAGAGAGGAAGGGGGGACCCUGGGAGAGAGGUGGGGUGGGGGAGCCCAUGGGGGACCCGGUGGGGGAGGAGGGAUGAAGGAACCAGGACCGGCCUGGGAGGGGGAAGCAGGGCACAGGGGGGAGCCCCUGGUGUGGGGAGAGCCCUUGCACCAUGUCCUUCCCGACAGGCGGCCAAGGAAUAAUGUGGCCGCGACCUUCGAGCAGAGGGACAUGCCCAUUGGUGUCUCCCGCAUGUCCCCCCCAUCCCUGUUCCCUGACCCAGGGUUCAGCUGCCCACACAGGACCCCUGUAGGAGUGCUCAGUCCCUGCAGAACGGCUGACAUAGGCUCCCUGCCCUGGAGCCCGGCCACCCAUCCAUGUGGGCCCCCCCCCCCCCACGACACCCAGGAUCGUGCUACAGGCCCCCAAGAUGCUGCUGCCUGGCUCCGGGCCCUGUGGCCUCCUGGGUGGUCAGGCUCCUGUGAGGGUGCCCCGUGCCCCUCUGGGGGUGCACUAGGGAGCCUGCCUAUGCCCUGUGCCCUCCUCCUGAGGGUGCCAACUCCCCACCCAGGGCCUUCUGCCCCACCUGUGGCGACUCAGCGAAGCCCUCCCUCCUCUGGGGCUAGCGCGCCUGACAUGGUCACCCACCAUCCCCAGUGAGGGGGGCCUGGCUGCAGCCUGGCAGUGCCCCGGCUGGGGCGGUGGGUGGGGGGGAGAGUGGAGAAGACACUGGGGACUGAGCACCCAUAUCCCCCACCUGAGCCACCAUGGCCACUCGGCCCUCUCCAUCCCUCCUGGGCCAGGCACACAGGGCCCCAGGAAGCACCUGCCGUUGCCCUGGGUGAAGUAGUGCAGGUGGGGGAGCUGCAUGUGCAAGGAGGCUCGAGGGCCUGGGCGCGGUGGCCUGGGCGCGGCUGGGUGACGGUCCCCCCCCAUGGUGCUGACUCGCUCACAGCAGCACUGUCCACCUCCACCCCUGCCGUCCAGCAAGGCCAGAGACUCCUGGAGGCCCCUUGGGGCCAGGGAGGCCACCCCCACUGGGCAGCCCUGCCCGAUUACAAAUGACAAUGUCACCAGCGCUGGUCAGAGGCUUUCCGGGUGCUGUGCUUCGUCGUUUGUAGCACCCGGCAGCCAGGGAAGCACGGGAGCAGGCACACAGCGUCUGGAAGGCUCUGCACACGUGCUCUUCUGCUCCUCGAAGGUCUUCGGAGGCUGCGAGCUGACUGCACAUAAACCACCACAGCCACCACGUUCCUGGGGGCACAGUCCACUUCCCUCCACGCCCGGCACACGGGGGAUGCAUCUGUGGUAAGCAAAGGUGGGCUGGCCGCUCAGCACAGUGACACAGGCUGCGGCUCACCAGCUGGCCCUCUCCAGGGCAUAGCCCUGUGGCAGGAAACGCGCCCUGUCAUGCAGCCAUCACCCCUGCAACUUCUGUCUUCCCACCGAAAUCCCGGUCCAGGAAGCCACCCAGUGAAUGCCAGGAGAGUUGUCAGAGCAGGCCCUUGGGAGAUGUGGCCCAAGCCAAUCUGGUCCAGAACCCAAUGAAAUGAACAUUGACCCAUGGGGACUUUGGAAGCCUUGUGGGUUUUUCUGGUCAAAAAUCCAGGAUAUUAAUCUGUUGACUGGACCCCCGGACCAACUGAGGGCACGUUAAGAUACAAGAGAAAACAUCGUCGUGGGAGCGGGUCCGGGAAACCCAAAGCCCGCUGUGCCAUCCCACCGGCCAACCUGCGCCUCCCGCCCCUCGGCCAGCCUUCCAGUGAGGAGACAAGACGGCGCCCCACAACCCCGGGCAGCGGCUUCUCCCCUCACCUGUGGGAUGAGUUCCUGGCCGCCCUGGCCCUGAGCCCGACCUGGCUCUGCAGACCGCCGUCCUCCCCACCCCAGCAGCCCGUCAGCCUGUUGUUUCUGGUGUCCUUAGCUGAUACAGCCUCAUGUACACACACCUGCACUGCGCCCCGAAAGAUCUACGAGGGCUCAUUUCUACGGAGGAAAACGAGAAACGGCGGCCACGGGGUGUACGACCCGCUCGGGGGCAGCGGCCGGCAGGGGAGGGGACGGCGCGCGCGCGGGCGGCAGGGGGCCGCCCCGCGCACAGACCGGAAGUGUUCGCGGCCCAGCCUCACGCACAGGCCGGAAGUGCUCGCCCCCUGACCCGCGCAUAGGCCGGAAGCGCCCGCGAUCCCGCCCUGCUCCGAGCACAAGCCGGAAGUGCACCUCGCCCCGCGCGCAAGACGAAAGCGCCCGCGGCCCCGCCCAGCCCGACGCAAAGGCCGGAAGCGCUUAAGGCCUCGCGCGGUCCAGAGCACAGGCCGGAAGUGCUCACAGCCCGGCCCCAGCACAGGUCGGAAGCGGCGCAGGCCCCGCCCCGCACACAGGCCGGAAGCGGCGCAGGCCCCGCCUCGCGCACGGGCCGGAAGCGGGCCAGUACUCCGACCGCGAAGUCGGGGUGGUGUGGCCGGCGUUCUCCGAGCCGCCCGCAGGGUUUGUCGGCAACUGCGGGCUGUGCGGCCUUGGAGACGCCAGAGCGGCGGCGGGGCGGGGCGGGGCGGCAGGGAGCCCGGGUGAGGGCUGACGUGGGCAGCGGCGACCGCGGCACUCGGUGCGCUCUACUGGGUCUCC